GAUAAACGCUGGCGGCGUGCCUAACACAUGCAAGUCGAACGCUCUGCGCAAGCAGGGAGUGGCGGACGGGUGAGUAACACGUGGAGACCUUCCCCCAGGUGAGGAAUACCGGCGAGAAAUCGCCGACAAGACCGCAUACGCUCUGCAAAGAGCAAAGUUCGCAAGAACGCCUGAGGAUGGCUCUGCGCCCGAUUAGCUGGUUGGUGGGGUAAGAGCCUACCAAGGCGACGAUCGGUAGCUGGUCUGAGAGGAUGAUCAGCCACACUGGGAUUGAGAA
rnacentral:rRNA from 1 species